rnacentral:rRNA from 1 species
CCUACGGGCGGCAGCAGUGGGGAAUAUUGCACAAUGGGGGAAACCCUGAUGCAGCGACGCCGCGUGAGUGAAGAAGUAAUUCGUUACGUAAAGCCCUAUCAGCAGGGGAGAAAAUGACGGUACCUGAGUAAGAAGCCCCGGCUAAAUACGUGCCAGCAGCCGCGGUAAUACGUAGGGGGCAAGCGUUAUCCGGAUUUACUGGGGGUAAAGGGAGCGUAGACGGUGCGCCAAGUCUGGAGUGAAAUGCCGCAGGUUAACUGCGGACGUGCUUUGGAAACUGGCGAACUAGAGUGCGGGAGGGGUAAGCGGAAUUCCUAGUGUAGCGGUGAAAUGCGUAGAUAUUAGGAGGAACACCGGUGGCGAAGGCAGCUUACUGGACCGUAACUGACGUUGAGGCUCGAAAGCGUGGGGAGCGAACAGGAUUAGAUACCCCUGUAGUC